UUCUGCCAAACAAUUGGGGAUUAGCUUAGCUUGGCCUAAAGCUUCGGCCUUUGAAGUCGAGAUCAUUGGUUCAAAU
rnacentral:tRNA from 1 species